GGUUCGACUCGAGCGAAGCGAGAGAACGUUGCGUCAGCAACGGCCCGCAGGGCGAGCCACAAAGUGGCGAGUCAUCCUCUAUCACCGACCA
rnacentral:sRNA from 1 species